GUUUGGGGUGCUGAAAGCAUUAUGCAAGUAGGCUGAGAGGAGUAUAUCUCCAACCCAUUGAACCUGAUGUAGGUAAUCCUACCGUAGGGAGGCGUUGUG
rnacentral:ncRNA from 1 species